AGAGUUUGAUCCUGGCUCAGGAUGAACGCUGGCGGCGUGCCUAACACAUGCAAGUCGAACGGGGAUACUUUAGUAGUAAUACCGAGGUAUUCUAGUGGCGGACGGGUGAGUAACGCGUGAGCAACCUGCCUUUCAGAGGGGGACAACAGCUGGAAACGGCUGCUAAUACCGCAUAAUAUAUUUGGACGGCAUCGUUUGAAUAUCAAAGAUUUAUCGCUGAAAGAUGGGCUCGCGUCUGAUUAGCUAGUUGGUGGGGUAAGAGCCUACCAAGGCGACGAUCAGUAGCCGGACUGAGAGGUUUAUCCCCCACACUGGUACUGAGACACGGACCAGACUCCUACGGGAGGCAGCAGUGAGGAAUAUUGGUCAAUGGAGGCAACUCUGAACCAGCCACGUCGCGUGCAGGAUGACUGUCUUAUGGAUUGUAAACUGCUUUUUCGGUAGAGUAAUUAGCACUACGUGUAGUGUUUUGCAAGUAUACCGAGAAUAAGGAUCGGCUAACUCCGUGCCAGCAGCCGCGGUAAUACGGAGGAUCCGAGCGUUAUCCGGAUUUAUUGGGUUUAAAGGGUACGUAGGCGGGAUGAUAAGUCAGCGGUGAAAUUUUGCAGCUUAACUGUAAGCUUGCCGUUGAAACUAUUAUUCUUGAGUGUAGAUAAGGUAGGCGGAAUGUGGUGUGUAGCGGUGAAAUGCAUAGAUAUACCACAGAACACCGAUUGCGAAGGCAGCUUACUAAACUGUCACUGACGCUGAUGCACGAAAGCGUGGGUAUCAAACAGGAUUAGAUACCCUGGUAGUCCACGCUGUAAACGAUGAUUACUGGUUGUUUGCGAUACACUGCAAGUGACUGAGCGAAAGCAUUAAGUAAUCCACCUGGGGAGUACGUCGGCAACGAUGAAACUCAAAGGAAUUGACGGGGGCCCGCACAAGCGGAGGAACAUGUGGUUUAAUUCGAUGAUACGCGAGGAACCUUACCCGGGCUCGAACGGUGCAUGAAUAUACGAGAGAUUGUAUAGUCCUUCGGGACAUGUAUCGAGGUGCUGCAUGGUUGUCGUCAGCUCGUGCCGUAAGGUGUCGGCUUAAGUGCCAUAACGAGCGCAACCCUUGUCAUUAGUUGCCAUCAGGUCAAGCUGGGGACUUUAAUGAGACUGCCACCGUAAGGUGUGAGGAAGGGGGGGAUGACGUCAAAUCAGCACGGCCCUUAUGUCCGGGGCGACACACGUGUUACAAUGGGUGGUACAAAGGGCAGCUACAUGGCGACAUGAUGCUAAUCUCCAAAACCACUCUCAGUUCGGAUCGGAGUCUGCAACUCGACUUCGUGAAGCUGGAUUCGCUAGUAAUCGCGCAUCAGCCACGGCGCGGUGAAUACGUUCCCGGGCCUUGUACUCACCGCCCGUCA
rnacentral:rRNA from 1 species